GACCUGGAACACUCCAGCGGUAGCAAGAAGAAACAGGGAAACAGUAGAUUGCUUCAUGGUAGACAUCUCGGGUGUUGCUGCUGGAAGG
rnacentral:ribozyme from 12 species